rnacentral:rRNA from 1 species
AACUGCUGGACAAGGAGUGUUCUGUUGAGCUCAUUUUCACACGAUGAACAACUGGCUUAGAACUGAUUCGGGCAAGGGGAAUCCGACUGUUUAAUUGAAACAAAGCAUUGCGAGGGCCUCAAAGGGUGGUGCCACAAUGUGAUUUCUGCCCAGUGCUCUGAAUGUCAAAGUGAGGAAAUUCAACUAAGCGCGGGUAAACGGCGGGAGUAACUAUGACUCUCUUAAGGUAGCCAAAUGCCUCGUCAUCCAAUUAGUGACGCGCAUGAAUGGAUUAAUGAGAUUCCCACUGUCCCCAUCUACUGUCCAGCGAAACCACAGCCAAGGGAACGGGCUUGGGUAAAUCAGCGGGGAAAGAAGACCCUGUUGAGCUUGACUCUAAUCUGACUUUGUGAAAUGACUUAGGAGGUGUAGGAUAUGUGGGAGCUCUGGUGAUCUUGAAAUACCACUACUCUUAAUGUCACUUUACUUACUCUAUCAGACUGUGGCCUGCUUCCCAGCAGGUUUUUGUUUCAAGGCAUCUCAUCUGACUUGUUGACUUGCGUAGAGGACGUAGUCAGGUGGGCAGUUUGGCUGGGGCGGCACAUCUGUUAAAGGAUAACGCACGUGUCCCAAGGUAAGCUCAAGGAGAACAGAAAUCUCAUGUGAAUCAGAAGGGGAAAUGCUUGCUUGAUUUUGCUUUUCGGUGUGAAGACAAACUGUGCAAACAUGGCCUAUCGAUCCUUUGG